AAAUUUUGCAGCUAGCGCUUUAAAUAUCCGAAGUUGAUGAUAUUAAAGUUUCAAGCAGAUCCAAGAUGAUUUAAGGUGGAAUAACCCUUUAAAAAAAGACAUUUAACACCUUUGUUUUCUUUCCCUCCAGAUGAAUCUGUGGACGGGCUUCUGCGUGGCCACUGCUCCUCCCCGCCUCCGCACUGUUGCUGUGAUAUUUCUUUUCUUUUUUUUUCUAUUAUUAUUCUAAUUAUUCAGUUUUUUAUUUCCCCUCUCCUGUUGUCCACAUCACCUGGAUUCCUUGGGUCUCACUCGUCAAGUCCACUUUGCUCAGGAAUGGCGUCAGGAAUCAAUCAAUCAGUCAUUCUGUCUCUUUCUUUUUCUCUCUCCUGGGGGUGAGGAGGUGAGGAGGGGGGAGUCACAUCACAGCUUACAGUCCUGGGGGUGAUUUUUAUGUUUUGUGUGUGUGUGUGUGUGUGUGUGUGUGUGUGUGUGUGUGUGUGUGUGUGUGCGUGUUUGCGUGUGUGUUUUUAAGCCAAGAUAAACAAUUAUUUUUUCGAAGGCGUACGGCUUUGGCCAUCGAAGACCUUUAACGUCCGAUUAUUUUAUUUUUCUGGCUUAGUUGAACGGUAGAACGCUAACGAGAAUCAUCCAUCAUGAUUAGAAACAAAAAUUUUCUAACCGUCGCCGCACUGUUACAAGGGAUGCAGUCUUUUUCUCUCUCUCUUUGGAAAACUAUGAAAGAAAACUCCAACUUAAAUCACCUGAUUUAUGCAAUGAAAUCACAGAAUCAGCGAGAGACGUUGAGGAUCUAUAUUUUAAUCAAAAAACCUCGUAUUUUAAUCCUUUAACACAAAGAGAAAGGCCCAAAUGCAAGUAUAUAAAUAUAGCUAUAUAUAUAUAUAUAUAUAUAUAUAUAUAUAUAUAUAUAUAUAUAUAUAUAUAUAGCCUGAAGAGUCUUAAGAUAUUUUAACGGUAAGAGUGACGAUGGAAAUCUGAUGGAUUUAUUUUCUUUUGUUGUUUUAACGACAAAAAAAAGCCCGUUUUCGUUUCUCAUCGGCUCCAGUCGCACCAUCGAUUUCUGCCUUAGCCGCGAGAAAACCCGAGGAAGGAGUUUAUGUCACACAAGUCUGUAUGUACAGUUCGAUAUUUUUCAUAUUUCGGGGGGGAAACUUCAUGAGAAUUCACACACGGGACUCGUUUUGUCCGGAGGAAAACAUCGUUGUGCCUCCCGGUUUGUUUGUUCUUUUCUUCUUCUGCGUUUUUUAUUUUUCUUUCUUCAUCUUCGGUCUCUGUUGAUCUCUCUCUCUGUCUCUCUCGCCUUGUUAGAAUAAUACUGUGCCCUUUGCAUGACUGUUACAAGCUCUGUAUACAAAGACGACGAUGUUAAGUGCCACACAAGCCGGGCAGAUCCGCCGGGAGAGCGCCCAGGCUCUUUCCGUUCUGUUGUUCAAUCACUCGUUUCCCAACACACGGUGCUUUCUGUCCUCUUUUUGCUUUAGCGUCCUCUCUUUGUCCGUUUACUUUCCCCCGUCUCCGUUUUCUCAUCGUUGUCGUUUAUUUACUUUAAAAAGAAAAAACUAAAAAAAAAAACCUUUGGAUCUCCGUGUGCAUGCUCAGACAUCUCGUUGUGGUUGCAAAUAGGAGAAUAACCAUAUAUCUGUAUUUAUACCACGCACACAAGAACAAAAACAAAGAAAAAAAAAUCACAAAAACCUGUCCUGAACCUGAGAAUCCAGGCGAGAUAAAGUUAGAAACGAUACUCAAAUGUAAAAGUUUGUUUAUUUUUGCUUUAAAUUGCACAUUCUAACGCUGAUGACAGCUGGCGGCGUCCGAACCAGCAGACGACUGCAGUAAAACUUUAAAAAAUAAAAAUAAAAAAAACCAACAAAUGCAGCAGAAGUCAAGACCGUGUUUCCACUUCUUGUCUGCUGAUUAAAGACUGUUGAAUUUGAAGCUUUUUAUUUCGAGUGGAAGGAAUUUACAGAUUUGGAAAGAACAUGUUUACAAAAGUGGGCCUCAAAUAUGUUCAGUUUCAUGGUACAGCCUCGCCUUUUAGUGCAACUUCAAAUGAAAAGCGCGACCUCAUGAAUGACAAGAAGAAGUAUUAUUCCCGACACUAAAGCAUCUGGAAGUAGAUUAAAGUCUAACCUGAAGGGAUUUUGGCACUUAAAUGAAGAGAUUUAAAUCUAACGUCAGACUGUUUUAGUGAUGUCAAGCUGCAGGUCACAAAAAGUAAACUCACGAUUUUUAUGUUUGGACAUUUCAGAGGCAAAAAUCUCCACUUUGUGUUUCUCUGUUGUUGUGGCUCUAAUAACAUGAAUAUUAAACUGAGCGGAGGGACGAAGCCAUAAUUAAUCCGUCACCACAGCUGCGAUGAACCGCUGCAGGUCGACGAAAAAAACGACACUUAAAUGUGCCGACUUUAGACGAUAUUUCACGAGUCUGUAAACUCUCAGAGUUCUCUGGAAGAAAAAGUGUAAUUUUGGUGCUAGUUGUAAGUUAAUUAGAGAGAAAAUAUGUUUUAAAAAAAAAAAUACUUUUAAAGCUUCCAAAGCUUUCAAAGUCCUAAACUGAGAUCUGUUAUAUUCGGAUAUCAUCAAAACGACCGAAUAUUUGGAUAUUCGGGUCCAGCCCAACAAAACGAAAACCUAUCUUGGUCCAGUUUGGCAGUUUAGUGAAAAAAAGUGUUAAUGUCAUAUUUGAAGCGAAUUUGUAAAUUAUAGUGUGCAUAUAUGUGACAAUAUGUACAAUUAAGACAGGUAAGAGCAUGUCGUUUAUGCACUGAGAUUUUGGGGCUGAAAGCGGGAUAAAAACUGACAUUUUUCCGGCUCUCAAUGGUGUUUUCGGAUUCAAGCGGUAAAAAGGAACGGCUUUGUUUACAUUUUCGCCGGAGUUCCGACUUGCACCGAAAAUUGACUUAUGGAGCAAGUCGGAACUCCAGCGCAAGUCGAGGACCUCCUGUAUUUAAUUAGAAAGUAGAACUUUGAUGCUGGCUUCAUCCAGUGUUCCGAUUCUGCUUGUUUGCUGCUUUAAACACGAAAUUUUUACACACCUUGUAACACAAAACAAAAUCAUACAACCGUUUUGUAGCUUUCUUUGGUUGCAAAUCCAUUGAAUUGAUGAAAAAUCAAUAAAACUCAACCCGCAAUUACGAAAAAUCAAGCUUCCGGUAAUUUGUCAAUUAAAUAUCCCUCUAAAAAUCAACUAAAUUACCAUAUGUCUGUAAUGUCUUUCCUAUAAUUAGUGCAAAAUUACACUUUUGAGUCCCUCUCUGCUCACGCCCUGAAGCUGUUUUUGUUAGACGUUAAUUUUGUUUCAAAGAGAAGUUUUAUGACCAAAAGUCCGUUGCAGAAAAGACCGUUUUUGCACUCACAGAUUCCCGUGAGGCUGAGAUUCGAUUAUUAAAUGAUGAUUAAAUGCACUCUUCUACAGUAGUUUGAGACUCGUAACCCUGAGGUGCCUGCCGGGACUUGACUUGCCUGUAGAUAGUCUAAUUUUUCUUUUUUUUUUUUUUCUUUUUGGGGGGGGUUUUAACGAGAACAUUAAGGGCACUGGAAACCUUACUGGGAUUAGUUGUAUAAAACAUAAAACAAAUGAAGCUUCUGCUGAGUUCUUUGUGCAAAUCUGUCUGUUUGUGCCUUUUUUGAUAGUCUUGAUAUCCAAGAUUUGAUGUGCAGCUUUCGUUCAGUCGGGACUCCGUCGUAAUCGCAGUAUAACGCUCUUAAAAACAAUCAAGUGGGAGGGAAUCUUUCAUUUCUGUACAUUUUUAAAGAGAUUUGUUGCCACAGCUGUGUGAUUUGUGACUGUAUUGAAAAAGAUGAAACAUUUAUAUAUAUUUUUUUGCGUUACCCUUCUUUUCUUUCUCUUUUCUUUCCUUGAUGUUUUUGUGCAUAUAUUUUUAUUGUAAGAUGAAUGUUAUGUUUCUAUCAGACACUAAUCUCGUUUGAGUUGUCUCUAGUGGAACUACUUCACUCUGUAUGUUUUGAUCAGUAUAAACCUUUAAUUGUGUAGUUUCUGAAAGAGAUUUAAACAAAAAAAGGAAAAAAUAAGACCCUUAGCUGUCUUUUAAAGGAUUCUUCUGUUUGACCUGCCAUAGAAACAGUUUUUAAAUUGAUCGGUCAGUUUUUUUUUUUGUUGUUUUUUUUUUUUGCUGUCGUGUGAAGGAUUUGACUUGAACGAAGCAUUUGCUAUUAUUAAAGACUGACUGCUACUUUGAGAAGAAAAUCUGUUUCUUAAUGUUUUUUUUCUUUUUGCAACUUUGCCAUGACAUUUAAAUAGACGUUCAUUAAAAACACUGUACCUUCA
ensembl:lncRNA